rnacentral:sRNA from 1 species
UCCGCGCUCGUGAUUCCGAAUGCCAGUCCCACCACAUCAACAGCAGACCUUGUCCGGCCCAAGCCGCCGAGCAAGCGUCCCCAGGCUGAUAAGUUGUGAUGGUAGAAACUUCCUCUGCAAGCAUUUGUUCUUGCUGUACGAAGAGUCUGCUGAAGGCCCCAUGGACUGGUUACCGUUUGUUUUCACGGCCAUUCGACUUUGCGAGGCCCCAUUUUGCGAUUUCAACCAGAUUAGAGCGCUUUCGAUCGCCAAUCGAGACGGGGUUGGGUCUCUUUCCUCGAAAUAAGUUAUAUGUUGAGGAAGAAGACCUCUUGACAACCAAACAGCGAUGACACUGCCGAUCUUGCUUUCUCCGAUCGACCGUUUCGAGGGGCACAGGCAUACCCAAAUCUUGCGUGGAACGAUCAACUGAGAUCAUUGCAAGAACAGGAACUGUCAGUCAAAUGCUGAGAAAGCUGUCUCGACAUUGAUGGAAAUAUCCGAAAUGUACAAAGAACUUUUGAUAGCGGCUGCUCAACAAGCAAAAAAGCCAGGGGCUAAAGCUCGCGGAAUAUUGGAGAAAAAAACAAGCUUGAGGGCCAGUUCUGCUUUACGAGAUAAAGUCAAACACGCCGUGCAAACAGCGAAUGAAGGUAAACAGGUCUCCCAACGUGAGCAGAGACGUGGUUCUCAACGCAUUCCAUUCUUCAAUGCUUUUCUCUCUCUAUCCCUUUUCAAGAAGCAAAAGGUUGUUGAAGAGUCACCAGACUGUGAAAGUACUACUGCGUAGAUGAUGUUUCUUUUCUAGUGUCCAUGUAUGUAUUAAUGGUAAUGAUAAAGUUUGGG